UACGUAGGGAGCAAGCGUUGUCCGGAUUUAUUGGGCGUAAAGAGCUCGUAGGCGGUUCGGUAAGUCGGGUGUGAAAACUCUGGGCUCAACCCAGAGAGGCCACUCGAAACUGCCGUGACUAGAGUCUGGUAGGGGAGCACGGAAUUCCUGGUGUAGCGGUGAAAUGCACAGAUAUCAGGAGGAACACCGGUGGCGAAGGCGGUGCUCUGGGCCAGUACUGACGCUGAGGAGCGAAAGCGUGGGGAGCGAACAGG
rnacentral:rRNA from 1 species